rnacentral:rRNA from 1 species
UAAAACGGGGGGAUAGAUACCCUAGUAGCCUAUUGCCUAAAUGAAGAAGUCUUUGUAAAAGAUAUAUUCGCCUGAGUAUUAUAAUCAACUGAUUGAAAUUCAAAAAAUCUGGCUGUUCGUUUUCCAUUUAGAGGAUUGUGUGCUUUAAAUCGAUAAUCCGCGAAUUACCUUACCUAACUUAGAUAUCAGGUGCUGCAUGGCCGUCUUCAGUUUGUGUAUGAGACAAACAGACCAAACUUUAUAAAAAACAAAGUCAGGUUGUAUGGUCUUUAUAGUUAGGGAGUCAUGCAAUACAUUAUUUUUUGCAACAAAAACGAAAAUUCGGAUAGAGACUGUAAUAUAUCUAGAAAGCUGAAUUUAAAAGUAAUCACAAGCAGAGAAUUGUGGUGAAGAGGUUCAAACGUUAGCACACAU